rnacentral:rRNA from 1 species
GAUGUGGAUUAAUUCGAUGCAACGCGAAAACCUUACCUACCCUUGACAUGUCUGGAACCUUGCUGAGAGGCGAGGGUGCUUCGGAGCCAGAACACAGGUGCCGCAUGGCUGUCGUCAGCUCGUGUCGUGAGAUGUUGGGUUAAGUCCCGCAACGAGCGCAACCCUUGUCAUUAGUUGCCAUCAUUUAGUUGGGCACUCUAAUGAGACUGCCGGUGACAAACCGGAGGAAGGUGGGGAUGACGUCAAGUCCUCAUGGCCUUUAUGACCAGGGCUACACACGUACUACAAUGGCAGGUACAGAGGGCUGCGAAGCCGCGAGGUGGAGCGAAUCCCAGAAAACCUGUCUCAGUCCGGAUUGAAGUCUGCAACUCGACUUCAUGAAGGCGGAAUCGCUAGUAACCGCGAAUCAGCAGGUCGCGGUGAAUACGUUCCCGGGCCUU